AACAGUGUCUACCUGCAGAUAGUGUCAGAUAGGAUCUGAUAGGAUCUGACACUAUCUGCAGGUAGACACUGUU
rnacentral:pre_miRNA from 2 species